rnacentral:rRNA from 1 species
UACGUAGGUGGCAAGCGUUGUCCGGAAUUAUUGGGCGUAAAGCGCGCGCAGGCGGUCCUUUAAGUCUGAUGUGAAAGCCCACGGCUCAACCGUGGAGGGUCAUUGGAAACUGGGGGGACUUGAGUGCAGAAGAGGAGAGUGGAAUUCCACGUGUAGCGGUGAAAUGCGUAGAGAUGUGGAGGAACACCAGUGGCGAAGGCGACUCUCUGGGCCGAAACUGACGCUGAGGAGCGAAAGCGUGGGGAGCAAACAGG